GUGGGGGGCGUGUGUGUGGGUGGGCUCGACUGGCUGGAAAGAGAGGGAGUGCAGUACGUUUUUAUAUUUUGCCAAAGCAGAAAUUCGUACGCUGCACAUAGACCUGAGAGAGGGGCCGAAAAUAUACAAAUAUCUGAUGGAUACUACCGUCAGCGGUAAAUCGGUACAGUGCAUAAACAUUGAUACAAGCGAUACGAUUGAUCCCGCAUGAUGAGUCAGCGGCGUUGAACGGCUGAACAUUGAACGAUGGACAGGCGCCCCCGCCCCCGCCCCCAAUAACGCGUCGGAAGAUAUGGGGUUCCAGGAAUCCCAAUCGCCAUCCUCGUUCCUCCCCUCCCUCCUGCCAACCACGCCCUCAGUAUUUCGUCAGAAAAGCUUGAGCUUACAACUGUCCUACGAGCACAUCCUGUGUCACCUUCAACUGUCAUACGCGGACGACGGCGACGUCGCUGCCCGUUGCUGCUGCCUGCUGCCUGCUGUUGAUGUUGGCAGCGGCCUGUGCAGAGAGUAUUCGGGAAUCCAGUUUUUGGGGGCUCGCCCCGUCACACACAAAGCCACAUAGUGUGCUGUAUAUGUAUGUACAUAUACAUUAACUUAUAUAUACAUACAUAUACAUAUGUAUAUGUAUGUAGAUGUUUGAGUGCGAGGGGUUGCUUUUGCGCUUGUCCGUUUUGUUACAUAUUACAAACAUAUUGUACAUAAUAUAUACAAAAUAAUUGAUUUUUGUUAGUAUUUUAUCGUGGGUAUUACAUACAUACAUAUAUGUAUGUAUGUACCUACUCUUUGAGUGUGUGACGUCAAUGAUGAUGACGUCGCCGAAGCAGCGUCGUCUGUCUGAUGAAACGCAACCCACUCAGCCUCUGCCUCAGUCCAGAGGUCAAUGCAGCGACAGAGCGGCGCAGCGGCUAAUGACAGAGAGUGGAAAAUUUGUGAAAAUCACAAAAUCCUAGAGAGGAUGGGUGACAGAAAGAGAGACAGAUAGAGAGAGAGCGAGAGCGAAAGCGAGAUGCUAUCCGGCCUUCGCUCAUGAGGAAAAGUCAUUAAUUAUAAUACUUAUUGUAUUUGGCAAGCCGUAAAUAAACUUCACGUGACGCUCGAAAAACGCGGAAAACACA
rnacentral:sRNA from 1 species